rnacentral:rRNA from 1 species
AUGGAGGCAGAGACGGAGACGGAGGCCGGCGACGACCCUGCGCUCGUGGCGGAGGGCACCGUCACCUGCAUCAGGCUCGCCGUCGCCUCCAACCAGGAGAUCGUGAAGGCGCAGCCGAUGAAGGAGGAGUUCCCGGUGACGCACCCGAGCCAGCUGGCCGGGAACCCGGCGCUGGGCCUGCCGCUGCAGCUCGGCCACUGCGACUCCUGCGGCGCCACCGACCUCGCCAAGUGCGAAGGUCAUUUCGGGUUCAUCAAGCUGCCCGUGUCUGUCUACCACCCAAGCCAUAUCGCCGAGCUGACAAAGAUACUCAACAUGAUCUGCUUCGGCUGCCUCCAGUUCAAGAACUGCAAGAUAGACGUAACUGAAUCGUUGAUGAUGAAAAAAAAACCAAAAAGCUGCUGCGAUCUCCCACCAAUACAUGUUGCAAAAGUCAAGAAAUCCAAUGGAGCCCUUACCUUGGAGCUGAGAGUGCCAUCCAGGAAAGAACUGGAAGAGGGAUUUUGGAGUUUCCUCGAUCAAUUUGGCUUUCACACGAAGGGCAGCUCUCACUGCCGUCGUUUAUUCGCAGAAGAGGUUCAGAAAAUAAUGGAGAAGAUCUCUGAAAAAACAAGAAGGCAGAUUGCUGCUAAGGGAUAUAUACUUCAGGAUGGAUUUGUGAUGAGCAAUCUCCCUGUUCCACCAAACUGCCUCCGCGCUUACAAUGUUUUACAUGAAACACUCAUGUGCUCUCCCGGUCCUCAAGAUAUCACCUUUAAAAGUCUGCCUGCAACAAAACAAUGGCAGCAAAAGAUGAAGGCACUCUGCAUCAGCAAGAGCUCAAGCUUCUCAUGCCGUGGUGUGAUCACGGGUGACCCAUACAUUCCUAUGAAUGUGGUAGGAGUUCCUGAUGAAGUAGCAAGACGAAUGUCGGUACAAGAGCGUGUGACAGACUACAACAUUGCUCAGCUGCAAGGCAUGAUGGAUAGAGGUCUUUGCCUGACACAUGAAGAUGCUAAUUCUAUCACGCACUCCUUGGAUGUGGGGAAAGCAAAUAAGAAACGGACCAUACUGAAGGUUGGUGAAACGGUCAACCGGAGAAUUCUGGAUGGAGAUGCGGUAUUUGUCAACAGGCCACCAAGCACCGACAAGCACUCAGUCCAAGCAAUGUAUGUCCGUGUACAUACUGGUCACACCAUCAAGAUCAACCCACUCAUAUGUGGACCACUUGGAGCAGAUUUCGAUGGCGACUGCGUCCACAUUUUCUUCCCAAGGUCAGUGUCAGCAAGGGCUGAAGCUAUAGAGCUCUUCACGGUGGAGAAGCAGCUGGUCAGCUCUCACAAUGCAAAGCUGAAUUUUCAGCUCAAAAAUGAUUGCUUACUAGCUUUAAAGAAAAUGUCUGCUAGAAAGUAUUCCAGAAGGGAGGCCAAUGAACUUAUAAAUGCAAUGUUCACGGCAGGAUUGAUUCCCAAGAAGCGACUAUCAGGUGGACCAGAGUGGAGUUUCGCUCAGAUUCUAGAGACGGUACUACCACAGGAAAACAAAAUAUUAAUCAGAGACUUGGUUGCUGGCACUAUUACCAUCUCAUCAGUUCUGUCCACGAAGAAUCCAAGGGAGGCCAUAGAAUUUCUGAAUCUUCUGCAGCCCCUACUAAUGGAAUCAUUAUUUACUGAUGGUUUCAGCGUAAGCCUGAGAGACUUCAAUGUCCAGAAUCCGAUAGCACAGACAAUUCAGCAUGAGACACUUGAUCUUGACAAGUUACGGAAACCAAUUGUGGACUUCAUUACUUCUUCUGACAUGCGCUUCUUGGUUGACCAAAAGAGAGAUUCAGCCAUGACCAAAGUAGUGGAGCAGAUUGGUUUCUUGGGACAUCAGCUGCAGCACGACGGAAGAUUAUAUUCUGGCAGCUUGGUAGAGGAUUGCCUAUCCAAGUCGCUAAGCAAGUGUGGCAGCAGCACCAAUGGUUGCCAUCCUUUGGAGGCACAUGGUUUUGUCAGGAACUCACUUUGCAAUGGACUGAACCCAUAUGAGGACCUACUCCAUUCAAUAUCUGCAAGGGAGAAGACAAUACGCGCAUCUAAAGGACUUGUGGAGCCGGGCGUUCUCUUCAAGAACAUGAUGGCAAUGCUCCGGGAUGUUGUAGCACGCUAUGAUGGAACCAUAAGAAACUCGUGUGGAAAUUCAGUUGUCAAGUUUGACUCGACAAAUUCAUCGAAUUCUGUGACACCAGGAGAUCCCGUUGGUAUCUUGGCAGCCACUGCAGUUACAAAUGCUGCAUACAAGGCAGUGUUAGACCCAAAUCAGAAUAACAUGGCCUCAUGGGACUCGAUGAAGGAAGUACUACUUACAAGAGCUAGCUCUAGAAAUGAAAAUGACCAAAAAAUAAUUUUGUAUCUAAACAAAUGCUCUUGUGGGGAUAAUUUUUGCAUGGAAAGAGCAUCACUCACAGUUCAAGCCUGCUUAAAGAGGACCAAAGUAGAGGACUGUGCUACUGAGUUAUCAAUCCAUUAUCAACAACAAAAUAUUCAAGCAACACAUUGUCUUGUUGGCCACAUUCACCUUGACAAGAAGCAACUGGAUGAAAUGAACAUAAGUAUGGAAGGUAUUCUUCAGAAAUGCCAGAAAGAAAUAUAUAGAUGGGGAAAGAAGAAGGGGCAGGUGAAUCAACUUAUGAAGAGAGUUGUGAUCUCAAGUGUGACCACACGAAUGUCUGAAUCUUCUGCGCGAGUUGUCCAGUUGAUGGCCAAUACCAUUUCUCCUAUACUCUUGGACACAGUCAUAAAAGGAGUCCAGGAAGUGAACAUAGUAUGGGUUGAACCACAAGACACAUGUUGGGUCCAGAACUCCGGUACAGAACAGAAGGGUGAAUUGGCGCUCGUAGUCACAAUGGAUAAAUACUCAACUGGAGAGAGUGGUGAUGUCUGGGGAACAGCAAUGGAUGCAUGCAUCCCUGUGAUGGAUCUGAUCGACACUACCAGGUCUCUGCCCUACAGCAUCCAACAAGUUCAGCAAGGGUUUGGAAUUUCCUCUGCCUUCGGUCGAGUCACACAGCACCUUUCCAAGGCAGUUGGAAUGGUUACAAAAUCAGUUCUCGAAGAACACCUGACAACUGUUGCAAGCAGCAUGACCUGCACAGGUAACUUGCAUGGCUUCAACAGCUAUGGUUACAAGGCCACAUUCAAGGCCCUCAAGAUUCAGGCACCCUUCAUGAAGGCUACACUCGCUAGGCCAUUGCAAUGCUUCGAGGAGGGUGCAGAGAAGGUCUAUUCUGAUCAGCUGGAUAGUGUUGUGUCUACCUGCUCUUGGGGCAAUCCUGCACCAAUUGGGACUGGUUCAGCCUUCAAAAUCCACUGGAAUGAUGGGAGCACGCAGGCAAUGAGAACCUUGGAGGGUAUGGUUUGUAUGAAUUCCUCAGAGGUAGAAACAACAAGAGCCACUGAAGAUAAUAUAAUUGUUCCAUACGGUUCCUGCUUGUAUGAUGUUGACAACCUUGAAGAAGAUGAAAUCGAAGAGGAUGAAGUCUUACGUUUGGGAGGAAACAGUCCAAUCACUUGGACAGACAGGCCAAAAGCAAAUCUCCUGCUGCAUGAUCUUCAAGGUUGGAGGGCUGAACAAGGGCACCAAAAAGUGCCAGUUGCAAAUUGGCAACAUGGUAAACAUGUCGCCACAGAGUCAAGUGGCACUAGUGGAUGGAACCAGAGCAGUUCUACCAUGAAAGUUUAUCAGAGAAGGCAACGUAAUAGUAAUUGGAGCUCAGAUGCAACACAGCAAGAUGGUAAACCGAGUUGGAACAAAGCAUAUGUGGCAGGCCCGAGCAACUUUGCCAUUACAGGGCCAUCAUGUGGUACUAGUGGAUGGAACCAGAGCAGUUCUACCACGAAAGUUUAUAAGAGAAGGCAAUUUGAUAGUAAUUGGAGCUCAGAUGCAACACAACAAGAUGGUAACCCAAGUUGGAAGAAAGCAAAUGUGGCAGGCCAGGGCAACUUUGCCAUUACAGGGCCAUCUAGCUCUGGUGGAUGGAGUAGAAAGACCAAUAAUCUUGGUAGAGGUCGAGGUGGUGGUAGAGGUGCAGUGUGGAAAUCAGAGGGAUCACACCGUGGAGGUAACAGUAGGUGGAAAGCCCAAAGAGCCAAUACCACAAGCGCCCCGAACUUCCACAUUUCAGGACCAUCCAACUUUGGUGGACGGAACAUCAAGACCGGCAAUCUUGGCCCAUGCCGUGGCAGAGGACCAGCAUGGAGAUCAAACGGACCAAACCGGGGAGGUAGCAAUGGUGGACCAAGAGGGAGUUCAAAUUUUACACUAGCGGAACAGCAGAUACAUGCACAAGUUGAUCCAAUCAUGAAGGAAGUAAAGAGGAUCAUCCGUGAAUCAAGGGAUGGCAUCAAGCUUUCUGGAGAUGAUGAGAGGUUCAUUGUUGAAAAUAUUCUCAUGUACCACCCAGAGAAGGAAAAGAAGAUGGCAGGGAAUAACAAUUACAUAACGGUUGCUAAGCAUCAAAAGUUCCAUAGCUCCAGGUGCUUGUACGUCGUGUCCUCAGACGGCCCUCCUACAGAUUUCUCCUACAAGAAGUGCCUAGAGAACAUGAUCAGGAUUCACUACCCACGUGAUGCAAGUUCAUUCUGCAGAAAGUACUUCCAGUGA